AGUCCUUUGCAUUCGACAGUGACGCUCCAGGGGCAGGCAUGAAGGAGAAGCGCAAGGCAUUUGAGCUUGCUCUGGCAACUGCAGAUGCCACAUUCCAGAACCUCGACUCGUCGGAGAUCUCACUGACAGAUGUGAGCCACUACUUCGACUCGGACCCAACAAAGCUGGUGCAAGGGCUGCGGAAGGAUGGACGGGCACCUGCCUCUUACAUAGCAGAUACAACCACAGCAAAUGCACAGGUGAGAACACUGUCGGAGACGGUGCGUCUUGAUGCAAGGACAAAGCUACUGAACCCAAAGUGGUAUGAGGGGAUGAUGAAGAGCGGCUAUGAGGGAGUUAGAGAGAUCGAGAAGCGGCUCACAAACACUGUUGGGUGGAGUGCAACAUCCGGACAAGUUGACAACUGGGUUUAUGAGGAGGCAAAUUCCACAUUCAUUGAAGAU
rnacentral:lncRNA from 1 species